AACUGUUGCCUCGGCGGGAUCUCUGCCCCGGGUGCGUCGCAG
rnacentral:rRNA from 1 species